rnacentral:rRNA from 1 species
AACGAACGCUGGCGGCAUGCCUAAUACAUGCAAGUCGAACGAGACCUUCGGGUCUAGUGGCGCACGGGUGCGUAACGCGUGGGAAUCUGCCCUUCGGUUCGGAAUAACAGUUAGAAAUGACUGCUAAUACCGGAUAAUGACGUAAGUCCAAAGAUUUAUCGCCGAAGGAUGAGCCCGCGUAGGAUUAGCUUGUUGGUGAGGUAAAGGCUCACCAAGGCGACGAUCCUUAGCUGGUCUGAGAGGAUGAUCAGCCACACUGGGACUGAGACACGGCCCAGACUCCUACGGGAGGCAGCAGUAGGGAAUAUUGGACAAUGGGCGAAAGCCUGAUCCAGCAAUGCCGCGUGAGUGAUGAAGGCCUUAGGGUUGUAAAGCUCUUUUACCCGGGAUGGUAAUGACAGUACCGGGAGAAUAAGCUCCGGCUAACUCCGUGCCAGCCGCCGCCGUAA